rnacentral:lncRNA from 1 species
CUCACAUAAAGCCUGUUUGGUGGUCUCUUCACGUGGAUGUGCAUUAAACAGGUGUCCUCACGCCCACCAGCCCAGAGUGCUCUCUGGAGGAAGGCUACAGACACUUCCUGGUUCACUCAUCCAGACGUUAGCUGUCUUGCUGAAACUCCUUUUUUCACCCUUGAAAACCACUGGAAGAAUGGCCCAGAACCCAGCUAUCCUGAGGAUGAUAAUGACAUUUGGAGAGUAGCACUAUAAACCUCAAACAUCUAUUUUGAAGAUGAUUGGAUUUAGGAGCAAGACAGGUUUGCCGUACACUUGACCGAACAUGCUUUGUUCCCCAAAGCAGCAAAAAAGCCAGAGCCUGGAAGUUUCUAAAACUUGAAGCAGAUGUAAGUGGCAAAUCCAAAAAGCCGUGCCUAGAGAACAGGUCGGGUGACCGGCUGUGUCUAUUCCAGCCUCCCCAUUGGCUUGGUGGAGGACUUCGCACAGGUCUCUCAGUUUCUCCUUCUUUGGUUUCACCGUAGAAUGAGGGGAAGUCACAGCAUUUCUUCCUUUGUAUUUCACAGAAACACAGUCAGCAAAUGUAAAGAAAUACGGGCGCCUACAUGGUGAUUAUGCUGGCCUGGUCUCAAGCUUCAUAUUCAUCCUUAAUUGAUUUCCAGGCACACUCGCCAGUGACCGGGCUUUGCUUCACCGAAUGGCCCCAAGGGCCUACACUUUCUUAAUUCUCCUGUGGACCCUUUAUUCACUCCCCCUCAUCCUUCCUUUGCUGAGGGUGUUUGCUUCUGACUG